AAUAGCACCAGCCGGAAAAGGCGGAAGGGCACCUGCAAAGGAGGAUGGAUGCGGGAGGCCACAGCACAGCUCCCCGCACACCACGUCAGAGGGCUUGAGCACAGUGACCGGGACUCUGGCACAGCGGAUUGGCGUGAGAUGGAUGGAACACGUUAAAACCUCCAGAUGGCCAAAGACAGCCGACCCUCAGCUGCCGCCGCCGGAGCUGUCGGAGGCAGGCGACGGGAGCCACGACUUGGCCAAGAGCUUAAAACAACAGCCUCUGAUUCCCCGUUGCCUGCGGUUUCACAACCACUUAACCCCCAGCAAGGAACGGCCAGGCCAGCGGUUCUCAACCUCACAAGCAACACCAUGCAACCUGCUGCCUCAUUUCUUGAUUUCUGCCUCCUUGGAGUAAUGUGUCUCCCUCCUGAGGCCCUUUCUGCCUGACAGAAUGGUCCCUCUCCAUCCCUCGUGAGCUGUGGGCAGCUCCUGCAGAGGGAGAAGAACCAGCCACGGAGACAGACUUUCAUUCCAGCUGCUGCUCAUUCCUCGCUGGCCUUUCCAGUGGUUCAUCGGGGACCUGUUUGCCAUCUCCGGUGCCAGGAGCCUGCGCCCAGCAGCCCUGUGCCCAAAGUAACUGAACGUAUUAUUGACAUCUACUUGGGCCGUGGAUUUCGGCACACCGGGCGCGUGCUCUGUCUACGCUGCUCCUGCCCUGGCUUUAGCUCCUUAGAACACAUUUGGUAGAGCUGUUUGUCCGCCAGGGGGUGAGAAGAAGCUGGUCAGAAGCGCAAAGGAGGGUCCCAAGAACAAUGCAGGACCUCUUCGCAGUCUUCUGGCCUGACACCAUGCAGGCCUCACCCCUGCUCCAGCUCCUGCCCGUGGCCUGGCCUGGGGUGGGGAUUGGAACACCAAAGAUCUAUGACUGGGGUGGCCUUGUGGUCCAAGUCCCUGAGGUCAUGAAACCUAGUUGAUUGUGUGACUGAACAUUUUCUUCCUUCAUGUAAGUUUUUAAAACCAUCUGUACUUCCUUUGCUGUGGCCCACUUAUAUUACGUUUUAUUCCAGUCAUACGAUAUUCUGUGAUUGUGUUUACCUGUGAAGAGGAAUUACUCGGGGCAGGGGUGGUCCGUAGUGGUUAAGAACACUUGUCCUUGCAGACGACCCAGGUUGGAUUCCCAGAACCCACUUGGUGGCUCACAAGCAUCAGUAACUCCAGUUUCAGGGGAUCUGACCCCCUCUGACCCGCUUGUGCACAUGUGGCGGUGCUCAGACAAAAACGCAAGCGAAACGCUCACAUAAAAUAAAAUAAAUAAAUCUAAAAGGAGUAAAAAUAAUUAGAAA